GGGGGAAAUACAAUAGAGAUUCAGUAUAUCUAUAUACAUAUUGAGGUAAAAUAUAAAUCAGUAUAUAUCUAUAUAAAUAUUUAGGUAAAACAAAAUAAAUGAGUAAACAAUUUGCUGAUUGCAAACAGACAGAUACAUUGAACAUAAAUAUUUCUGUUUAUUUGCAACAGUUAAGAGCUUACAGUCUGAGGGUGCUUAUUCCAUUUUGAGUAUGGCCUUCAAAAGCACAGCCACCCAAUCCUGUAAGUAAGUCAAACCUGUUUUGUUGCAACUAUUUGCAAGUCUACCUAUUGAACAGCGCUGUGGAAUAGGUUAGUGCUUUCUAAAUACUGUAAUACUAUACUUUACAUACACACACGGUUUAUACUGAGCAACAUAACACAGCAAGCUCUGCAUACACUUAGAUCACUAGAAAUGGAUAUAUAUAUAUAUAAACAUUCUCAUUCUUCAGUAAUAUUUACAUUGUGUGCAAUGGAUUUGCUUAUAUUCUAUCUGGUGCUCAAAGGGUUAACGUGCACAUUAACCAGUGUGUUAUAUCACCUUCUGUCAUUUUGCAAUAUGUCAUGAGAUUUAGGGUGGGGAGGGGGACGGGAGAGUUUUGAUUAGGACUGUGGGGAUGUUUCUGUACUGAAAGCGAAUCCCUGUGAAAUUCCCCAGGGUUCCAUAUUCGGAAUGCUAAUUAGUCACAGGCUGAGCUCUGCAUGCCUGGAGACUGCUGGGAAGAAUAUAUCCCAAAGGGGAGAAUGGAGCCCCCCUCAGACAAUACCCGGGAACGUUCUGAAUAAGGUAAUCCUGAAAUUAUUCAAACUAUUAAACCUAUUGCUAGGAAAUUAGUCACUUCUAAAUUUUGGCAAACAUUGCACUAAAGCAUAAUAUGUUAAACUCCUAACUUGCUAGCUCUUGUAUCCCUGACUGUGUCACCUGUAUACAAGCAGGAAUAUCACUUUAUAAUUAAUAUUAGUUUUUAUUAUUAUUAUCAAUUCUUUAUUUUUGCAUUGACAGACAUUGUAGGUAAGUGCAUUUUUGGCUUACGCAGAAGCCCAUCUUUUCAAGUAUGUUUUAGACAUGGUACAGAAAAAGACUGGGUUGUUAGUAUACAUAACAUACAUUUUAG